rnacentral:misc_RNA from 1 species
UCUCCGUAGGUGAACCUGCGGAGGGAUCAUUACAGAGUUCAUGCCCUACCGGGUAGAUCUCCCACCCUAUGUUAUUAUUACUUUGUUGCUUUGGCGGGCCGUUAGGCUCCGGCCCGACUACCGGCCCCGGCUGGUAAGCGCCCGCCAGAGGACCCAAAACCCUGAAUAUUAGUGUCGUCCGAGUGCUAUAUAAUAGUUAAAACUUUCAACAACGGAUCUCUUGGUUCUG